AUUUAUGGCCUAAAUAGCCCAAGGGUGUCAGAUCCUAUCUGAACUUAGAGGCUAAACAGGAUCAUCAUUGGUUAGUACUUGGACAGGAGACCACCAAUGAAUACCAGUUGCAAGGAAGG
rnacentral:rRNA from 11 species